rnacentral:lncRNA from 1 species
ACAGAACCCCUGAGAGAUGAUCAGCUGUUGUGGCCUCCGAGUUUGGGGAUGGCUUGUUACGCAGCCAUAGGUCACUGAUACAAGCACAAAAUCCUUCUCUUCAAGGAAGAGGAAUCAACCUUUUCACUUGCUGUGUGCCAGGGAAGGAAACUGAGGCUCAGAGAGUCUAAGUGUUUCCCGAAGGUCACACAGAAACCUGAGGCUCUGAGAUUCCAAAGUUAUCAUGCUCUGGACCACAAUGUCAUCCAUCCCAGAGUAGGGACGUAGAAGCAUGCUCUGGAGCGAUGCUGCUCCAAGGAAAUUCUGAACUCGAUCAGGAGUCUCUCAGACAGAGGCAUUUCAGGCAGGACCGCCGGAGUACCUGCGGGUAAGGCGGGACCUCCCCCACCUGGGACCUUCGCAAAUACUCCCUGUCACCAUUGAUGACUGGAAGCAUUUCACGCCGUGUCGCCCACCCCUCCCCCCGGGAACAGAACCCCCUAGUUUCACCCUCGAACAGCCCCUCUCCGGCCUCCUGCUGUGUUCACCAUCAGGUUUCAUCUCAGCUUCUGCUUUAGCGGCGAAAGCAGAACCCACAGGCAGGGAACUGAGAGGAGGGCGGCGAGAGGGGAAGACCCUCGGGACCGCCGCGGAGCCUGGGCCUUUAAGGGCAGGGGCGGG